CCUACGGGAGGCUGCAGUGAGGAAUAUUGGUCAAUGGACGAGAGUCUGAACCAGCCAAGUAGCGUGAAGGAUGACUGCCCUAUGGGUUGUAAACUUCUUUUAUAUGGGAAUAAAAUGUUCCACGUGUGGGAUGUUGUAUGUACCAUAUGAAUAAGGAUCGGCUAACUCCGUGCCAGCAGCCGCGGUAAUACGGAGGAUCCGAGCGUUAUCCGGAUUUAUUGGGUUUAAAGGGAGCGUAGGUGGAUUGUUAAGUCAGUUGUGAAAGUUUGCGGCUCAACCGUAAAAUUGCAGUUGAAACUGGCAGUCUUGAGUACAGUAGAGGUGGGCGGAAUUCGUGGUGUAGCGGUGAAAUGCUUAGAUAUCGCGAAGAACUCCGAUUGCGAAGGCAGCUCACUGGACUGCAACUGACACUGAGGCUCGAAAGUGUGGGUAUCAAACAGGAUUAGAUACCCUUGUAGUC
rnacentral:rRNA from 1 species